rnacentral:rRNA from 1 species
UACGAAGGGGACUAGCGUUGUUCGGAAUUACCGGGCGUAAAGCGCACGUAGGCGGAUUUGUUAGUCAGGGGUGAAAUCCCGGGGCUCAACCUCGGAACUGCCUUUGAUACUGCAAGUCUCGAGUCCGAUAGAGGUGGGUGGAAUUCCUAGUGUAGAGGUGAAAUUCGUAGAUAUUAGGAAGAACACCGGUGGCGAAGGCGGCCCACUGGAUCGGUACUGACGCUGAGGUGCGAAAGCGUGGGGAGCAAACAGG